UUGACAUGCAGAGAACUUUCCAGAGAUGGAUUGGUGCCUUCGGGAACGUCUGACACAGGUGCUGCAUGGCUGUCGUCAGCUCGUGUCGUGAGAUGUUGGGUUAAGUCCGUAACGAGCGCAACCCUUGUCCUUAGUUACCAGCACGUUAUGGUGGGCACUCUAAGGAGACUGCCGGUGACAAACCGGAGGAAGGUGGGGGAUGACGUCAAGUCAUCAUGGCCCUUACGGCCUGGGCUACACACGUGCUACAAUGGUCGGUACAAAGGGUUGCCAAGCCGCGAGGUGGAGCUAAUCCCAUAAAACCGAUCGUAGUCCGGAUCGCAGUCUGCAACUCGACUGCGUGAAGUCGGAAUCGCUAGUAAUCGUGAAUCAGAAUGUCACGGUGAAUACGUUCCCGGGCCUU
rnacentral:rRNA from 1 species